GGGAAUGUGGCUUAGUGGUAGAGUGCUUGCCUAGCAUGCAUGAAGCCCUCGGUUCAAUUCCUCAGUACCA
rnacentral:tRNA from 1 species